GAUGAACGCUGGCGGCGUGCCUAAUACAUGCAAGUCGAGCGAACAGACGAGGAGCUUGCUCCUCUGACGUUAGCGGCGGACGGGUGAGUAACACGUGGAUAACCUACCUAUAAGACUGGGAUAACUUCGGGAAACCGGAGCUAAUACCGGAUAAUAUAUUGAACCGCAUGGUUCAAUAGUGAAAGACGGUUUUGUUGUCACUUAUAGAUGGAUCCGCGCCGCAUUAGCUAGUUGGUAAGGUAACGGCUUACCAAGGCAACGAUGCGUAGCCGACCUGAGAGGGUGAUCGGCCACACUGGAACUGAGACACGGUCCAGACUCCUACGGGAGGCAGCAGUAGGGAAUCUUCCGCAAUGGGCGAAAGCCUGACGGAGCAACGCCGCGUGAGUGAUGAAGGUCUUCGGAUCGUAAAACUCUGUUAUUAGGGAAGAACAAAUGUGUAAGUAACUAUGCACGUCUUGACGGUACCUAAUCAGAAAGCCACGGCUAACUACGU
rnacentral:rRNA from 1 species